CUAUCAUUAAAAAUUAUGCAAUUUUUAUUCCGAAAUAACUCUAUAUUUAUCAAAUGUUCAUGAAUAGAGGAAAAAACGUCAUUUUUUGCUGCAUGUUUAUUGAAAUUAAAAAAAAUGCGCUAUUUACAGUUUUAUAAAAUUUGGGUCACAUAAUCUCCUUGCAAAAUGAAACAAAUUGCUAUUUUAAAAAAUAGGGGUCCAUGCACUCGUUUUCAAAUUAAAUCAGUUUGAAUGAUAAAAAUCAGUCGAAAAAUGCAUCUUUUUCCGAUAUGUCAUAGUUUGACGUCGCGAAAAUAACAUUUUACGUUAGCAACGUCAUUACCUUCCCUGUAACUGUAUCGUAUGCCCUUAAAUGUUCUGAA
rnacentral:lncRNA from 1 species